AUUGAACGCUGGCGGCAUGCUUUACACAUGCAAGUCGAGCGGCAGCGCGGGGGCAACCCUGGCGGCGAGCGGCGAACGGGUGAGUAAUGCAUCGGAACGUAUCCUCGAGUGGGGGAUAACCCAGCGAAAGUUGGGCUAAUACCGCAUGAGCUCUGAGGAGGAAAGCGGGGGACCUGCGAGGGCCUCGCGCUGGAGGAGCGGCCGAUGUCCGAUUAGCUAGUUGGUGGGGUAAAGGCUUACCAAGGCGACGAUCGGUAGCUGGUCUGAGAGGAUGAUCAGCCACACUGGGACUGAGACACGGCCCAGACUCCUACGGGAGGCAGCAGUGGGGAAUUUUGGACAAUGGGGGCAACCCUGAUCCAGCCAUGCCGCGUGAGUGAAGAAGGCCUUCGGGUUGUAAAGCUCUUUCGGACGGAACGAAAUGGGCGGGACUAACACUCCUGUCUGAUGACGGUACCGUAAGAAGAAGCACCGGCUAACUACGUG
rnacentral:rRNA from 1 species